UUAGUACUCGCUCCGUUCGAAAAUAUUUGUCAUCAAAAUGAAUAAAAAGAGAUGUAUCUAGAACUAAAAUACAUCUAAAUACAUCCUUUUUUAUUCAUUUUAAUGACAAGUAUUUUCGGACGGAAGGAAUAGGUA
rfam:Triticum aestivum genome assembly, contig: Triticum_aestivum_CS42_TGACv1_scaffold_569782_7AS